UACGUAGGGCGCAAGCGUUUAUCCGGAAUUAUUGGGCGUAAAGAGCUCGUAGGCGGUUUGUCGCGUCUGCCGUGAAAGUCCGGGGCUCAACUCCGGAUCUGCGGUGGGUACGGGCAGACUAGAGUGAUGUAGGGGAGACUGGAAUUCCUGGUGUAGCGGUGAAAUGCGCAGAUAUCAGGAGGAACACCGGUGGCGAAGGCGGGACUCUGGGCCGAUACUGACGUGAGGAGCGAAAGCGUGGGGGAGCGAACAGG
rnacentral:rRNA from 1 species